GAGGACUGGAGCUUGGAGGUGUGGUGGGAGAUUUGAAAGAUCAAAGAACUGAAGUAAGGGAGACUCCCUCCCAGAGUGUCUAAGGAUUUAUGGUUCCCCACCCGAGGGGGAAGAGGGGUGCCUGGAAAGGGUAGAAAUCUUGUGAUCUUGAUGGAGGGCUAAGUCACACUGAGCCAGAAGAUGCUGGAAGCUGGGUGGAUCAGCUGAAGACCAGGAAGGGAAAGAGGCAGAAUCUCUGCUACCAAAAGGGACAGCAUAGGGAAGUUUCAAUCAUUUGAUCCAGGAGCAGAAAUAAUACCAAGUUACAUCAGUGACAACUUGCACAUUCCACACAAUGACUAGCGAAUAAUCAAAAUGAACAACUCCUGGACAACCCAUAAGCAGAGAAGUUACUUAUCCCAACCAUUCAGUGAAUAGUACAGCUGGCUGGAAAGAGUUAGUUCAAUUCUGUGGGAAAUGUCAAGUUCAAAAAG